rnacentral:rRNA from 1 species
GAUGAACGCUGGCGGCGUGCCUAAUACAUGCAAGUCGAGCGAACAGACGAGGAGCUUGCUCCUCUGAUGUUAGCGGCGGACGGGUGAGUAACACGUGGAUAACCUACCUAUAAGACUGGGAUAACUUCGGGAAACCGGAGCUAAUACCGGAUAACAUGUUGCACCGCAUGGUUCAACAGUGAAAGACGGUCUUGCUGUCACUUAUAGCUGGAUCCGCGCCGCAUUAGCUAGUUGGUAAGGUAACGGCUUACCAAGGCAACGCUGCGUAGCCGAACUGAGAGGGUGAUGGGCCACACUGGAACUGAGACACGGUCCAGACGCCUACGGGAGGCAGCAGUAGGGAAUCUUCCGCAAUGGGCGAAAGCCUGACGGAGCAACGCCGCGGGAGUGAAGAAGGUCUUCGGAUCGUAAAACUCUGUUAUUAGGGAAGAACAAAUGUGUAAGUAACUAGGCACGUCUUGACGGUACCUAAUCAGAAAGCCACGGCUAACUACGUG